CAUUUUAUUUUAUUAGAGGAACCUGUUAUUUAAUCGACAAUCCACGUUAAAUUUUACUUUAAUUAAAAAUCCAUAUACCGCCAUCUAAAAAACUAAUUUUAUGAUAAUAUUUUAUAAAAAGUUAGGUCAAGGUGUGAUCAACAUUAAAGAAAUAAAUGGGUUACAUUAAAAAUAAUUUAAGGAUUUAACAUAUAAAAACAUGUAAUGAAAAAGGAUUUGAAAGUAAUAAUAAAAUAAUAUUUCAUUAUA
rnacentral:rRNA from 1 species